CCUAUGGGUGGCUGCAGUGGGGAAUAUUGGACAAUGGGGGGAACCCUGAUCCAGCCAUGCCGCGUGUGUGAAGAAGGCCCUCGGGUUGUAAAGCACUUUCAGUGAGGAAGAACGCCUGGUGGUUAAUACCCAUCAGGAAAGACAUCACUCACAGAAGAAGCACCGGCUAACUCCGUGCCAGCAGCCGCGGUAAUACGGAGGGUGCGAGCGUUAAUCGGAAUUACUGGGCGUAAAGCGCGCGUAGGUGGCUUGAUAAGUCGGUUGUGAAAGCCCCGGGCUCAACCUGGGAACGGCAUCCGGAACUGUCAAGCUAGAGUGCAGGAGAGGAAGGUAGAAUUCCCGGUGUAGCGGUGAAAUGCGUAGAGAUCGGGAGGAAUACCAGUGGCGAAGGCGGCCUUCUGGACUGACACUGACACUGAGGUGCGAAAGCGUGGGUAGCAAACAGGAUUAGAUACCCCGGUAGUC
rnacentral:rRNA from 1 species